GAUGAAGAACGCAGCAAAAUGCGAUAAGUAAUGUGAAUUGCAGAAUUCAGUGAAUCAUCGAAUCUUUGAACGCACAUUGCGCCCGCCAGUAUUCUGGCGGGCAUGCCUGUUCGAGCGUCAUUUCAACCCUCAAGCUCAGCUUGGUGUUGGGACUCGCGGUAACCCGCGUUCCCCAAAUCGAUUGGCGGUCACGUCGAGCUUCCAUAGCGUAGUAAUCAUACACCUCGUUACUGGUAAUCGUCGCGGCCACGCCGUAAAACCCCAACUUCUGAAUGUUGACCUCGGAUCAGGUAGGAAUACCCGCUGAACUUAAGCAUAUCAAUAAGCCGGAGGA
rnacentral:misc_RNA from 1 species